rnacentral:rRNA from 1 species
UCCAGACUCCUACGGGAGGCAGCAGUGAGGAAUAUUGGUCAAUGGGCGAGAGCCUGAACCAGCCAAGUCGCGUGAGGGAGUACUGCCCUAUGGGUUGUAAACCUCUUUUGUCAGGGAACAAAGGCGGGGACGUGUCCCCGGAUGAGUGUACCUGAAGAAAAAGCAUCGGCUAACUCCGUGCCAGCAGCCGCGGUAAUACGGAGGAUGCGAGCGUUAUCCGGAUUUAUUGGGUUUAAAGGGUGCGUAGGCGGGACCUUAAGUCAGCGGUAAAAUUGCGGUGCUCAACGCCGUAGAGCCGUUGAAACUGGGGUUCUUGAGUGAGCGAGAAGUAUGCGGAAUGCGUGGUGUAGCGGUGAAAUGCAUAGAUAUCACGCAGAACCCCGAUUGCGAAGGCAGCAUACCGGCGCUCAACUGACGCUGAGGCACGAAAGUGCGGGUAUCGAACAGGAUUAGAUACCCGUGUA